AGGAUAAUAGUUAAUAUAUAACAUUUAAUUUGCAUUUAAAAAAAAUUGAAUUUAUCAAUUUAUCUUA
rnacentral:tRNA from 1 species